UACGUAGGGGGCGAGCGUUGUCCGGAAUCAUUGGGCGUAAAGCGCGUGUAGGCGGCCCGGUAAGUCCGCUGUGAAAGUCCAGGGCUCAACCCUGGGAUGCCGGUGGAUACUGGCGGGCUCGAGUCCGGAAGAGGCGAGUGGAAUUCCUGGUGUAGCGGUGAAAUGCGCAGAUAUCAGGAGGAACACCAAUGGCGAAGGCAGCUCGCUGGGACGUGACUGACGCUGAGACGCGAAAGCGUGGGGAGCAAACAGG
rnacentral:rRNA from 1 species